rnacentral:sRNA from 1 species
AUAUCCCCCACCCCAGUCCAGGCAAGCAAGAGGGGUUCUUCUGCAGGCUUCAGGGCCCCCAGAAGGCGUGCUGACCACAGACACCCUGGGGAGCCAAGAGAGGUCGAGGGCUCUGGCUACCGUGGCCCACUGAGGACCCCUGCCUGUGGGAUAGAGGACUUGGUGGCUGAAGGGCAGUCGUGCCCAGGGGCUUCUCCUGACCCGCAGGGCUGAGCGGAUGCAGCUUUUUGCCUCUUCUCGCUGCAUUCUAGCCUGUCAGUCAGGGCAACAGCCAGAUGGUCUGUGCUAAGAUUCAUCCCAUCCCCACGGGCCCUGUGGCUUUCUACCGUGUCCACGUGGUGGCCUGUGCAGUUCCUGGUCAGCAUUCUCCUGGGGAUGCUGCUGUCUAAUGGGUUGUGGGAGAAACAGAGACAGGCCCUGCACAUGGGGCAGCCAGUCCAGCACCCGCCGGGCCAGGCCCUCAGCAUCCUCUCCUCCAGAUGCCCAAGAGAGCUGCUCCAUGCGCUGUGGCGCCCUGGACGGGCCAUGUUCCUGCCACCCGACGUGCUCUGGCCUUGGCACCUGCUGCUUGGAUUUCCGGGACUUCUGCCUGGAGAUAUUGCCCUACUCAGGCUCCAUGAUGGGCGGCAAGGACUUUGUGGUGCGGCACUUCAAGAUGUCCAGCCCCACAGACGCCAGUGUGAUCUGCAGGUUUAAGGACAGCAUCCAGACCCUCGGCCAUGUGGACUCCUCCGGGCAAGUGCACUGUGUGUCACCUCUGCUCUAUGAGAGCGGCCGCAUCCCCUUCACUGUGUCACUGGACAACGGCCACUCCUUCCCUCGUGCGGGCACCUGGCUGGCUGGUGAGCCCUCCUCCCUGCCCACAGCCUGCCCCCACGGGGACUUUCCCCAGCGCUAAUCUAUGCACACCGAGACUUGGCCCGUCCGUGCCCUGCCUCUCUGGCUGAACCAGUCCCUUGGGAGGCCUGCCCGCCUGCGAGAGUUCCUUCAGCUCCUUUCCACUCCCUGGCAUCCAGACCGCGGUCCCAGCCCAGAGUGAGUGGGAGCUGCAGGGGUCCCUAGAGAGGUGGGCCAGUGCCUAUCCACUGAGCUCCGCCAUGCCAGGGCAGGGGAGAAGCCAGGUGGAGGCUAGAGGCGUGGGCAGUGGAGGGAGGGCAGGCCCCUGCCUCUCCGGCCUCAGCGUCCUUUUCUGCUGUGCGGGCCAGAGAGACCAUCACCCAGCUGCUGCCAUGCAUUGGCCCUGGAGGCUCCCACAGCCCUUGAAGCCUCAGGGCCUCCUCCCUGCUUCCCUGGGCCCAGGCCCUCACUCACCCCUCACCUCCCCUGCCCAGUGCACCCCAACAAAGUGUCAAUGAUGGAGAAGAGCGAGUUGGUGAACGAGACGCGUUGGCAAUACUACGGCACUGCCAACACCUCAGGCAACCUCAGCCUGACCUGGCAUGUCAAGUCGCUGCCCACGCAGACCAUCACCAUCGAACUGUGGGGCUACGAGGAGACAGGAAUGCCCUACUCACAGGAGUGGACUGCAAAGUGGUCGUACCUGUACCCCCUGGCCACACACAUCCCCAACUCCGGCUCUUUCACCUUCACCCCAAAACCUGCUCCUCCCAGCUACCAGAGAUGGCGAGUGGGUGCACUUCGGAUCAUCGACAGCAAAAAUUACGCAGGGCAGAAGGACGUGCAGGCGCUCUGGACCAACGACCAUGCACUGGCCUGGCACCUGAGCGAUGACUUCCGAGAGGACCCUGUGGCCUGGGCACGAACUCAGUGCCAGGCCUGGGAGGAGCUGGAGGAUCAGCUGCCCAACUUCCUGGAGGAGCUGCCGGACUGCCCCUGCACCCUGACCCAGGCCCGGGCUGACUCCGGCCGCUUCUUCACGGACUACGGCUGUGACAUGGAGCAGGGCAGCGUGUGCACCUACCACCCCGGGGCCGUGCACUGUGUGCGUUCUGUGCAGGCCAGCCUCCGGUACGGCUCAGGUCAGCAGUGCUGCUACACAGCGGACGGGACGCAGCUCCUGACAGCUGACUCCAGUGGCGGCAGCACUCCCGACCGCGGCCAUGACUGGGGCGCACCCCCGUUCCGCACGCCACCCCGAGUGCCCAGCAUGUCCCACUGGCUCUACGAUGUCCUCAGCUUCUAUUACUGCUGCCUCUGGGCACCCGACUGCCCCCGCUACAUGCAACGGCGGCCCUCCAAUGACUGCCGCAACUACCGGCCCCCGAGACUGGCCUCCGCCUUCGGAGACCCACACUUUGUGACCUUCGACGGCACCAACUUCACAUUCAAUGGGCGCGGAGAGUACGUGCUGCUGGAGGCAGCGCUGACCGACCUGAGGGUGCAGGCGCGGGCCCAGCCCGGGACGAUGUCCAACGGCACGGAGACCCGUGGCACUGGGCUGACCGCAGUGGCCGUCCAGGAGGGCAACUCAGAUGUGGUGGAAGUCAGGCUGGCCAACAGGACCGGAGGUCUGGAGGUGCUGCUGAACCAGGAGGUGCUGAGCUUCACCGAGCAGAGCUGGAUGGACCUGAAAGGUGAGCAGUCCAGCCACGCGAGGCUGCGGGCUGCCCUCACCUCCUCCCCAUUCCUGCGGGGAGACUGAGGGGAAGCCCUGGGCCUUCAUGCCUCUCCCAGUCCUGGCUAGAGGCCUGGGUGGUCCGACCUCAGGCCUUCACACCCACCGAGGUGCCCCCAUCGUACCCACCUGGUCAAAAGCCGAGAGGCCGUGACGGUGGGACAUGUCCUCCCUACGGAGGAUCCCGGCAGCCUUCUGGAGGGGAACUCACCCUGGUAACAUUCACUGCUGGCCUGCACAGAGCCACUCCUGUGCUCCUGUCACUCCCUCAGUCCUCAAAAGCCACUGCAAGGUCUCCAGCCCUGCACGGUUAAGGAUGCCCCUGGCAAGUGGUAGCUCCGCAUCUGAACCCCUUGCCUCAGGGAACUGAGUCAAUGAAAGGAUUCCUGGUUGGGAUGGGUGAGGACCUGGGAGGGGCCUGUCAGCACUGAGGGUUCAAGGACCCUCGGGACGUGCCCACGCAGGUGUGACUGCUGCAGGCAAGGCCAGAGGGACCCACACGUGCAUCUCAACAUGGGGGGUUCACCGCAGGGGCUGCACCUCAGGUGCCGCUGGGGGUUCCACCGCAAGCAUGGCAGGGGUGGCGGAGGGUCAUGGUCAGCAGAAUUGGCCCUGGGAACGCCCUCCCUUCCCCUGCAGGUGCUCUCACCCACAGCCCCUGGGUGCCGACCACCCUGUCCUGGGGCUGCGGGAGGGGACAAGAUGCUCACAGCGGGUGACCCUAAUGCAUCCCCCUUGUGCCCAGGAAUGUUCCUGUCGGUGGCUGCCGGGGACAGGGUCUCCAUCAUGCUGGCAUCAGGGGCCGGCCUGGAGGUCAGCGUGCAGGGCCCGUUCCUGAGUGUGUCCGUCCUGCUGCCUGAGAAGUUCCUCACCCACACCCACGGCCUCCUCGGGACACUCAACAACGACCCCACCGACGACUUCACCCUGCGCAGCGGGCGCGUCCUGCCCCCGGGCACCAGUCCCCAGGAGCUGUUCCUGUUUGGGGCCAACUGUGAGUGACCGUGGAGUAUAUGGGGCAGACGGGGUGGGGGGUACUGGAAACAUGGCACGGGCAGGGCUUGGGGACCAAAGGGAGCCAUGCCCAGCCAGGCCCCGGUCAUGUAUCUUCCAGGGACUGUGCACAACGCGUCCUCCCUGCUCACCUACGACUCCUGGUUCCUGGUCCACAACUUCCUGUACCAACCCAAGCACGACCCCACCUUCGAGCCCCUCUUCCCCAGUGAGACCACCCUCAACCCCAGCCUGGCACAAGAGGCAGCCAAACUAUGUGGGGACGAUCAUUUCUGCAACUUUGAUGUGGCAGCCACUGGGAGCCUGAGCACGGGCACUGCCACUCGGGUGGCCCACCAGCUGCACCAGCGUCGCAUGCAGAGCCUGCAGCCAGUGGUGUCCUGUGGCUGGCUGGCCCCACCUCCCAACGGACAAAAGGAGGGCAACAGGUACCUGGCGGGUUCCACCAUCUACUUCCACUGUGACAACGGCUACAGCCUGGCCGGGGCAGAGACCAGCACCUGCCAGGCUGACGGCACCUGGUCCUCACCCACCCCGAAGUGCCAGCCAGGACGCAGCUACGCGGUGCUGUUGGGCAUCAUCUUUGGGGGCCUCGCGGUGGUGGCGGCGGUUGCGCUCGUCUAUGUGCUGCUGCGCCGCAGGAAGGGCAACACGCACGUCUGGGGUGCACAGCCCUGAUGGGAGCAGCUUGGCUGUGAGGACCAGGCCAAGACUCCUGAGAACAGGCAGCCCAGUCCUGCGACUCCUGCAUCCCCAGGACCAGACACCUGGGACCUGGACACUUGAUACCUGGGCAUUUAACCCCCUACUCUGUCAUCUCAGACCCCAGGCAGGAGGCCCAGUGUUCCAACACCCAAGCCCCGUGCUAGCAGCGCUCCGUGCUCUUCCCCAAAUACUCACGGCUCUAAUUCCCCAAACCUGAAACUUCAUACCCUGGGAUUCUAAUACCUGUGUCCUGAGCCCUGACACUCCCACACCUGAGCCUCAGAUUCCAAUAGCUCACUCCCUAGAGCCUGACGCCGGGGCCCCUGACCCCUGAGCCUCAGAUUCCAAUACCUCACUCCCCAGAGCCUGAUGCCGGGGCCCCUGACCCCUGAUCUACGGAGGCCUGCUCCCGGACCGUGCGGGCACCAGUGCAGUGCUGCCUUGGUUCCUGGACCCCUGGGCCCACUCUGGGACCCCAGAUGGGGUGAGGAGAGGCCCCAGAACCCCAAAGCAGACAGCGAGACCCCCAGCGGCAGAGACCUCCCUCGGCACUCCAGGCUUGUAAUUUCGAACUCUUCUGCAAGGUCACUCAGGAACACCCUCCCUGCCUGUGCAAGGAGAAAACAAGCGCCUUGUUUCCUUC